rnacentral:rRNA from 1 species
AUGUCUCAGUGCAAGCCGUAUUAGGGCGAUACCGCGAAUGGCUCAAUAUAUCAGUUUUGGUUCCUUAGAUCUUACUCAGUUACUUGGAUAACUGUGGUAAUUCUAGAGCUAAUACAUGCAAUCAGAACUCUGACCAGUGAUGGGACGAGUGCUUUUAUUAGAUCAAAACCAAUCGACGGAGGGCCUCGCGUUCGAAGUCGUUAAUUUUGAUGAAUCUGGAUAACUUUUGCCGAUCGCACGGUCCAGCACCGGCGACGCAUCUUUCAAAUGUCUGCCUUAUCAACUUUCGAUGGUAGUUUCUGCGACUACCAUGGUUGUCACGGGUAACGGGGAAUCAGGGUUCGAUUCCGGAGAGGGAGCCUGAGAAACGGCUACCACAUCCAAGGAAGGCAGCAGGCGCGCAAAUUACCCACUCCCGGCACGGGGAGGUAGUGACGAAAAAUAACGAUACGGGACUCUUACGAGGCCUCGUAAUCGGAAUGAGUACACUUUAAAUAUUUUAACGAGGAACAAUUGGAGGGCAAGUCUGGUGCCAGCAGCCGCGGUAAUUCCAGCUCCAAUAGCGUAUACUAAAAUUGUUGCGGUUAAAAAGCUCGUAGUUGCAUUUGUGCGCCGCGCUGUCGGUGCACCGCAUCCGCGGUGAUACUGACACGUUUGCGGAGCAUAUCGUCGGUGAGCCGACGGUCAAACGUCGGUUCAAUAUCAAAAUCCUAUCGCGGUGCUCUUCAGUGAGUGUCGAGAUGGGCCGACAAUUUUACUUUGAACAAAUUAGAGUGCUCAAAGCGGGCUCAAAAUGCUGCUUGAAUAUUUCGUGCAUGGAAUAAUAGAAUAUGAUCUCGGUUCUAUUUUGUUGGUUUUCAGAACUCCGAGGUAAUGAUUAAUAGGGAUAACUGGGGGCAUUCGUAUUGCGACGUUAGAGGUGAAAUUCUUGGAUCGUCGCAAGACGAACAUCAGCGAAAGCAUUUGCCAAAGGUGUUUUCAUCAAUCAAGAACGAAAGUUAGAGGUUCGAAGGCGAUUAGAUACCGCCCUAGUUCUAACCGUAAAUAUGUCAUCUAGCGAUCCGCCGACGUUACUACAAUGGCUCGGCGGGCAGCUUUCGGGAAACCAAAGAUUUUGGACUCCGGGGGGAGUAUGGUUGCAAAGCUGAAACUUAAAGGAAUUGACGGAAGGGCACCACCAGGAGUGGAGCCUGCGGCUUAAUUUGACUCAACACGGGAAAUCUCACCAGGCCCGGACACCGGAAGGAUUGACAGAUUAACAGCUCUUUCUUGAUUCGGUGGGUGGUGGUGCAUGGCCGUUCUUAGUUGGUGGAGCGAUUUGUCUGGUUAAUUCCGGUAACGAACGAGACUCUAGCCUGCUAAAUAGGCGUCGUCAUUUAGGUGUGCGUGGCUCACGUCACGCAACUCACUGGCGACGUAUUAAAAUUCUUCUUAGAGGGACCGGCGGCUUCGAGCCGCACGAGAUUGAGCAAUAACAGGUCUGUGAUGCCCUUAGAUGUCCUGGGCCGCACGCGCGCUACACUGAAGGAAUCAGCAUGUUCUCCCAGGCCUAGAGGCCCGGGCAACCCGUUGAAACUCCUUCGUGCUGGGGAUUGGGGUUUGCAAUUAUCCCCCAUAAACGAGGAAUUCCUAGUAAGCGCGAGUCAUAAGCUCGCGUUGAUUACGUCCCUGCCCUUUGUACACACCGCCCGUCGCUACUACCGAUUGAAUGAUUUAGUGAGGUCUUCGGACCGACACGCGGUGGCUUCACGGCCGUCGGCGUUGCUGGGAAGUUGACCAAACUUGAUCA